CCCGCGGGAUGCGGGCGCUGCUGCGGCGGCUGCACGGCGCGGCCGUGGCGCUGCUGCUGUGGCGGGGCCGCGCUCCGUCCCCGGCCCGGCCCGCCGCCUCCGAGGUGCUGAGCCAGCACCUGCGGCAGCGCCGCCUGCCCCACUGGACCUCCUUCUGCGUCAAGUACAGCGCGGUGCACAACGACCAGUUCGGCCUCUCGCACUUCAACUGGCCCGUGGACGGCGCCAACUACCUGGUGCUGCGCACCGGCUGCUUCCCCUUCAUCAAGUACCACUGCUCCCGUGCCGCGCCGCAGGACCUGGCGCUGCAGGACGCCUUCUUCACCGCCCUCAAGGCAUCCCAACGUUGCUGUAUGGAAUUGGCUCCUGGUUCUUUGCCCGUGUCACAGAGACCGUUCACACCAGCCAUGGCCCGGUCACCAUUUAUUUUCUAAACAAAGAAGAUGAAGGAGCCAUGUACUGAACUGAAUAGCUGUCCUCUGGUUUUGGCCUGAAUGCAAGAUAUUGGAGGCCAGGAGGAUUUGUACCACCCUGUCUCAAAAAAUUCCGCAGCACUCAGGGAUAAUUGAUCCACAGGAUGACCCUUUUGACUUCUGACAGAUUUGAUCUGCUCUGCCUCCCAUUCUAAACAAAGUUUAGCUCCCCUGCAAGCCUCGCCUUAAUUAUCUCUUUGCUGAUGUUUAAAUGAGGCAGAGAUGACGUCCCAGAGCUUUUGUUUCACCUCCCUUAACUACUCCAGAGAAACGGAACGCCGAGGAUCAGGUGGCUCCUCCUUGUAGCACCUCCUUAAAUAUGAAUGAUCCUUGUGGGCACCUGAAGCUGCCGGGCCGGGUCAGCGGGCUCGGGUGUCCCAGUUAAACUCUGCCGCUGUCACUUAAUGGGAAAUGCAGCUGCUCUGCUGAAAGAUCAAUGUCCAAUAAAGGCUGCACAAUCAAAUCUUGUUGCAAUGAUUGAGGUGCUUAAUUGCCUUUCAAAGAUAAGGUGGUAAUCAGCACACGUUCAGCUGAUCUUUUUUAGCGCCUCAAUUACACCCUGAUGGCAGAGCCAGGGCAGGAUCUUUAACUACUUAUACUUAUUAAAUCUUACCUGGCUUCUGAAAAAUUACUUAAGCCCUGCAAUCGAUAAAGCCCAGCUCUUAAUUACUAUAUUUCACUUUUAGGCCUUUUUGUAUGCUUGAUAAAUGUUUCACCUGAGACUGCACGCUGCUAAUGAGUUACCCCAAGAAAUGCCCUUUGCUGCUGCUGUCUCCAAAUUGUGCUUAAACAUUGGUGAUGAACUACACGCAGGUGGACCCAGUUCAACACAAAGUUCUUAACUUUUUUUCCCCCCACUGUAAAUUAAUUCUGGAUUUAAAGAUUGGAUUGCAACUCCUAAAUAUUUAUGAUUAUACUCUCAUGUUGUCUGAAAAAUCAGUUUUUGUGCUCUUUUCCUGCUCCCCUCUCUUUCCCUGGAGCAAUAUCCAGAGCUUUUCUCCUGCUGACCUUCCAUUGACUUGGGCAGAAUUUAAAUCUGUCCUCACCUUACCUUGUGUGUUGACCUAAAUCUCCUCACAAACCAUAAUUAUAGAUCUCCCUGAUGUAUGUUAUUAUUAUUGAAUGAAAUUUAGGUAUUUUUUUAAUAGUUAAAUGCCCUUAGGCCUCUGGUUUAGAGCAACUUUUCCUGAAACAAAGGGGAUUUUGCCUCAUGUAUUAUUUACUGUGGCCAUUUAAUUUAUAUUGGCUUUUGCUGUAACCCCUUAAUCAUGUUCACUACAGAAAAGUGAGUUAAUAAUUCUGAGAGUUGUCUUGAUUCCUUUCCCUAUUUCUGGAAACAGAAGUUAUUAUUUAAAUUUUGGGUUGUAUUUUUCAGUUUAAAUACACCUAAGAACAAGUGGCAGCUU